CAUUCCUUGAAGGCCUAGUCUACUGCCUCUGUGGAUCCUGCCACCUGAGGCAGUCACCUCACCUUGUCUCAUGGUUCAGCGAGGAGUUCCUCAGUUCAUCAUUCAAGAUACUCCGUUCUAUUUUCCCUGUAAUGAACCACAGCUUUCCAUGCCUUACUGAGCAUGGUAAGACAGGCUGCUUUUUAUUCCUUUUUUGGUUUUUGCUCCCAUAGGUGUUCUCUCUCUCUAAUUGUUGUUGUUGUUGUUUUACUUCGGCAACCCUUGACGUUUCCCCAUGCAGGUCUGUGGGGGUGCCAUUUUGGCGGCGGUAAGUCCUGCCACUUGGAGAACUGAGAUCACUGUUAAGAUAUGGUUACCAGAUUUUUUUCAAUAAAUCCGGGGACACUUUUGUUUUUUUUUUAAGCUGAGUAGCAACAGGGACGCGGGUGGGUGGUGCUGUGGGUUAAAACACAGAGCCUAGGACUUGCCGAUCAGAAGGUCGGUGGUUCGAAUCCCCGCGACAGGGUGAGCUCCCAUUGCUUGGUCCCUGCUUCUGCCAACCUAGCAGUUCGAAAGCAUGUCAAAAUGCAAGUAGAUAAAUAGGUACCGCUCCAGCGGGAAGGUAAAGGGCGUUUCCAUGCGCUGCUCUGGUUCGCCAGAAGCGGCUUAGUCAUGCUGGCCACAUGACCCGGAAGCUGUACACCGGCUCCCUCGGCCAGUAAAGCGAGAUGAGCACCGCAACCCCAGAGUCGGCCACGACUGGACCUAAUGGUCAGGGGUCCCUUUACCUUUACCUUAGCAACAGGGAAUCAGUAGUGGAGAUGGUGAGGCAAAAGACCCUGGGCCCAAGUACAUAUGCAUAUUGUAUAAAGGCACAAAGCCCUUCUUUCGAACCCUGUGAAACAUAAAUGUGCAGUUUUUUUUAAAAACUGGGCAACGGUGCUCCCCUGAUCUCCUGCCCCCUUCCUCCUUUGUUUUGACUGAUCGGGGAGGCUUGGGAGUCACAGGUGGGUGGCUGUUGCCCAGUUUUUUUUUAAAAAAAACCUCUGCACAUUUAUGUUUCACAGGGUGCAAAAGAAGGGCUUUGCACCUUGCCUGGCAGAGAAACCAUGCGCCUUCUGCCCCUCCUGGGCGGCGCCUGCCCACCCGUGACUCCCGAGCCUCCCCCGAUCUGUCAAAACAAAGGGGGAAGGGGGCAGGAGAUCUGUACCACCGGACGUCCCUGGUUCCCCUUCAGUAGUGGCGGGGGCAGCAAGCAGCUCCUGAAGCCAGCCAGAGCCAACUGCGCUACCAGGCCGGCUCUGGGCUGCUGAGGCUGCUACUGCCACGUUUCCCGGGGACAGAUUUGCAAAUCCGGGGACUGUCCCUGGGAACUGGGGAUGUCUGGUAAACCUAUGUUAAGAUCUUCAGCGAUGUUUUCUGUUUGAAAUUCAGACCAGAACCAUGAGGCUUAAAAAAAAGUAUUCCAAAGCUUUAAAAACAAAACAAAAAAACACCCUCCGAUUUAUGAUGUGCUUUUAUUUUAUUUUGUUAGGAACAUUGAAUAAAAUCAUUAAACAAAGCAUUGCCAAACACAAAUGCCAAUGGGAUAAAAACAGCCGCACUCCUGGACAACGUUGCCUCAUGCAUUUCUCAGAUGAGGCAGUGAGGCUUUGAAUUGUGACUUUUGCGUGGUUUUUCCAUGCGACAUUUGAAGUUUUGUUCUCAUGCAAAUCAUCCCGACGGGAACAUCUGCACACUUUACUGGAUGCCAGUUCCAUGAGAGCUGAUGACUCCUGAUCAGGCACAGAGCUCAGGGGGGUAAGGAAAUAAGUGGGAGAGGAGACGUCUGGGUGUUUGGUUAGUGAGGAGCAAAAGGAAAGAAAGAAAGGGCACUGGAAUGUGUGGAAUUAGGCGUGUUUGUUUGUUUAUGGGAGGGGGUGGAGUUACACUGAGGUUUGGGAGUACUGACCAAAACAAAAUGCCUUAUACCAAUAUCUAUACCUAUAGAACUUGUAUAGUUCCAUAUAAAAUCCAUUCGCCUUGCAGAAUACUUAAAGUGAGAUUUUAGGGCAGGCCAAUAAUAUUUUGACGCUUGAGGUGAAGGAAGGCAUCAUGCAGAAGUCAAGUGAAUUGGCAGUUGAAUCUUGCUUCACCUUUGGUGACAGGACAGCAUUGUCUGCCACACCUGAGGCAGCAGGCCAGAUUAGGGACAACAGAGGUAAUUGGCGGGGAGUCUGUCCAUUUUGGUUCAUCUCAGUUUCUCAUUUUUCUACUCUUAAGUUUAGGUCUUUUACACAUUCUGGCCCAGUUUGCAUUUUUAAAAGAAGUCCUCAUGAAAACCCACCAGCAUUUUACUGCAAAAUUCUCCUAAUAUACAUAUUUGAAUGCAAUCUUGUUUAAUAUGCAAAGCAGAUGCCCACAAUACAAUGCAUUUCUGCAUGUCCUUUUUUUUUGACUAGUGUCACCUUACUUCAGCGUAUGCAUUUUUGUAAAUGGUACUUGCCUGGAGAAGUGCAACUUGCAGCUUUGCUUCAGUCCUCAUCUUGUUUCGAACAGUGAAAGUUAGGCAAGUUUGCAUUUAAAUGCGAAUGGAAUCAAUUUUCUGCCUCAUCUCUAUUUCUGCCAGAGGUAGUGGCUUCACUUUGGCUAACAGCAGGGCCAAACUUCGGACCAGGUUGUGAAGCUAUUAUUAUUAUUAUUAUUAUUAUUCAUUAUAUUUACAGCCCUCCAUCUGUAGAUCUCAGGUCAGUUCACUGCAUAAAAAUACAACAUACAAUUUACAUCACACUGGCACAUUCUUAAAACAACCAGGCGUGGUAUAGACAUUUGGAAUAAUGAACACAACAGACUUUGGAAUUGUUAAAACGACUUACUGGGUCACUAGGUUGCUGUUAAAUUUCAAAAUGGCCUCUUACCUCUGAGCUGGGAACAAAUUUGCCACAUAGCUUCAUGUAUGUAGUUAAAAAAAAGAGUCAUACUGAUUAUCAAUAUUGUCUAUCAGGAAACUUAAAAAACACAUAGUUCUUUCCCCAAACGUCAUGACAAAAGUUGCUAUGUGCGAUACAAGCAGCAGUAAAAUAGGUAGCAUAGUGCCCCCUGCUGGACAAAAGUAGCAUAUUUUGAAUCUAAAGAGAAGGCAGAAAAUAAAGAUAGUUAAGAUUCGUGACUGUGUGGCAUCCUCCUUCCUUCUUUGAAUGGAAUAUAACAAGCAAGAGCUGCUUCACACAGAGGCUGUUAUGGUAUGGAUAUUAACACAGCAAAAAGCCCUAUUAAACACAACACAGCUCUUGUGCAAUUCGAAGCCAAACCACGACUCAGUGUGGAAGUAUGAGGGUGAGGGUUGCUGGAGAGGAGCAUAUUGUGGUCACUGGUUCUUCUGACGCUGGCGGGUCUCACCUUUCUCUUGCCACAUGUGCUCCGCUUACGUGGCAUUGACCUGAGCAGGGAUGAGAAACCUUUUGCACCCUGGCGACUACAUUCAUUUCUGGGCACCCUUUUGAGGACUGCACGCCAUUAGUGGGUGAAGCUACAGGCAGAAAUGGGUGGGACAAUUGAUAUAAAUUGUUCUAUUGUACAGGCAACCCACUCCACCCCCAUUUAUGCACGGGUUCUGUUCUGGGCCAUAGCGCAUUGGUAGAGCAUGUGGAAGCCCACCUGCCCCAUUCCACCCUGGCCCUGCCCCCAUUCUGUCCAGUUCCACUCCCAUUCCACCUUCUUCCCAUGCCAAACAUGGCACGCACAACAGUCCCAGCGCCGUAAGCACUGCUGGUGAAAUCUGAGGGAAGAAAGUGCCCGAGGCCUGGGACCCAACGACGUCCCUUCAGGACCUCAGGAUUUGGAAAUGGCUGGUGAUAGGUUGAGUCUGCAGGUACUCCGAAAGAUAGGGAGGUGAUUUUGAAAAAUGCAUUUACAGUGGACGCUCGGGUUGCGAACGUGAUCCCUGCAGGAAGCACAUUCGCAACCCACAGCGUUCACAACCCGCAGCGCCGCGUCUGCGCACGCGUGGGUCACGAUCCAGCGCUUCUGCGCAUGCCCAAAGCGCGGUUUAGCGCUUCUGCGCAUGCACAAAGCACCGAAACCCAGAAGUAACCCAUUCUGGUACUUCCGGGUUCGGCGUGGUGUGCAACCUGAAAUCGCGCAACCCAAAGCAUCUGUAACCCGAGGUAUGACUGUAUUACACCGAGUUGAGUAUUCAGCUAUCUGUGCUUGUAGGUAGCCUUGCAUUGGAAUGGGUCUUUAAGGUAUGGGAGAAGGCUGUUUUAAGAUAUGGGAGAAUGGCACAUAGCAGCACCCGUAGGGAUGACAAAUGAGGAAGUAGGCGAGACGGGGCGUGUGUGGAGAUUUACUUGGGGCAAUGUCAUUAUCCAAGGGGCUGGGUUCUAUAGCCUCUCUCUGUAAAUACUGAAUAAAAAUAGGACGGUAAGAAACAUUCACUUGUCUUUGUACGUUCCUGGGCAAGCAGCCAGGAGUUGGUGGCAGCAGCCUGACACUUGGAAGCCACUGGUCUAGGAGGGAUAUCUAUAUAUCUAUGUCAUCUAUAUCUAUAUCAUCUAUAACCAGUUGGCUCUUUCUUUCUUUCUUUCUUUCUUUCUUUCUUUCUUAAAACAGUUUCCAGAGACAGAUUUGAAUGGCAAGAGAUCUGUGGUUGGUUCCACCCACCACUAACUUUCCUGGUCAUGAGCAGCAACCGUACCAAGCUAUUUGGUGGUAGAACUGAGCCCCCACCAAGAAUAUUUGCUGUGUGUCUUACAUAAUCCUGAAAACUAUAAAGAUGAGAGACAUUAACUAACAUGUGUGUUGCAUUAGCAGGCAAAUGGAAUAUCUUUCAUGUGCAAUACUCCAUAGUAAGCUAACAGCCUUGAAAUGACCUCAUCCAGUAUGUAUUUUUGGCCUUAGAUCAGCAUGCGCCGCCCUGCAUGGCCCUUUUAAAGGUUCUGCACAGUAAAUCUACAUUUCAUAGGAAAAGGCUCAUGACUCACCUACUGUAAAUUUCUGUUUCCCUGCAUGCCUUUGCACAGAAGAUCUUUGUCUGCCUGCUGUAAAUAAUUGGCUUGGCUGCCGGCCUCCAUUGUUACUUCCUGUGACUCAAAUUAAUUGAGACACAACUGAUGCCGAAGCCUGAAACAAGAGCUACUCCAAUGGAGUUUUUAAACUGACUAACAGCACACCAUUUAGACAUCAAUUCCAAUUAGCUCCACGACUGACAGCCCUUUCCUACAUUCUACUUCUGUUCUUCUGUGCAUUCUUCUUUGCUAAAAAAAUAAUUUGAUUUAUGAAGACUCCAUUUCCUCAAGUGGCUUGUGAUGGGGCUACCAAAACUAGACCCAUAGGUGGUUGGGCACAGUGGAGAGAAGUCUUCUUAACUGCAGUCUUCUGGCACACUCUGUUUAAUCUCCCCUGUGCCAAGGAUUUCCAUGCACUGAUGUGCUUUAAAAUGUUAGAGUAAGUUCUCUACACUUUCAUGGUUAAGGCACGACUCAUCGCUGCUAGCAGAUCUUGUGUCUGCAUUCUUGCUGCAGAACAUGGAGUCUUGUUGGAGUUGUUCCAGGUACAGCUAGUUCAACUAACCCUUUGCAAGAACCUAGAAACCAGGAAAAGCUAUGGUUUUCCCAGUAGUGAUGUAUGGAAGUGAGAGCUGGACCAUAAAGAAGGCUGAUCGCCGAAGAAUUGAUGCUUUUGAAUUAUGGUGCUGGAGGAGACUCUUGAGAGUCCCAUGGACUGCAAGAAGAUCAAACGUAUCCAUUCUGAAGGAAAUCAGCCCUGAGUGCUCACUGGAAGGACAGAUCGUGAAGCUGAGGCUCCAGUACUUUGGCCACCUCAUGAGAAGAGAAGACUCCUUGGAAAAGACCCUGAUGUUGGGAAAGAUGGAGGGCACAAGGAGAAGGGGACGGCAGAGGACGAGAUGGUUGGACAGUGUUCUCAAAACUACCAGCAGGAGUUUGACCAAACUGCGGGAGGCAGUGGAAGACAGGAGUGCCUGGCGUGGUCUGGUCCAUGGGGUCAUGAAGAGUCGGACAUGACUAUAUGACUAAACAACAACAAGAAACCAGGAAAACACUGCGUGGUCCACCAGACAAUGGCCAUUGACCCAGCAACCAGGGCCAUCUUUACCUGGUGGUGUAAGGGGCGUGGGGAACCCAGGCACCAAAUUCUCGGGGGUGCCAGCUGCCUCGCGGCCAGCCAAGCACUGAGAGGAGCUGCAGGAGACUGCAGAGAGGCGGAGGAGGAUGACAGGGAAGGUGAGGGAAAGCGGCGGCGGCAGCAGCAGUAGCAGCAGCAGCAGCAAGGGGAAGGAGUGUCUCUGCCUCCACUGGGAAGCGACUCUCUGUGAAAUCAGCAAAGAUCUUGUAUCUGAUGUGGUGGCGCCCUAGAGAUUUGCUGCCCUCACCUUCCUCAUUGUCCUCCUCCACCUCUCUGCAGUCCUCCUGCAGCUCCUCUCAGUGUCUGCCAGCCGCAAGGCAGCCUCUUCCCCGCCACAGGGGCUCAGGAUGAUGGCCAAGGAGUGCGGGGCAAUUUGGGGCGCUGGGCGGAUCUUUGCAUCCCUGUGGCACAUAUGCUAAAGAUGGCCCUGCCAGCAACCUUUUGGGGGUAUUUUUCUCAUGAGUUUGCUAUUUAUGAUUUGUAGUAUUGUCAGAAGUGCAAACAGGUAAAUGGAUCUUUUCCCCUUUUCCUUUUUUCACACGUGGUGGACUUGCAAGAAAGCAAGGGCAUUUUGGGAAAUGAUACACAAUGAGAUAAAAAAAAAGAUAUUUAAAGUGAUUGUAUAUAUAUAUAUAAAGGGAUGCUGGUGGCACUGUGGGUUAAACCACAGAGCGUAAGACUUGCUGAUCAGAAGGUCGGCAGUUCGAAUCCCUGCGACGGGGUGAGCGCCCAUUGUUCGGUCCCUGUUCCUGCCAACCUAGCAGUUCGAAAGCACAUCAAAGUGCAAGUAGAUAAAUAGGUACCGCUCCAGCGGGAAGGUAAACGGCAUUUCUGUGUGCUGCUCUGGUUCGCCAGAAGUGGCUUAGUCAUGCUGGCCACAUGACCCGGAAGCUGGCUCCCUUGGGCAGUAAAGCGAGAUGAGCGUCGCAACCCAGAGUCGUCCACGACUGGACUUAACGGUCAGGGGUCUCUUUACCUUUACCUAUAGAUAUAAAAAGCUUAAAAUGUUUUUGUUAGGGGAUUAUAGGGGUAAAAAUCCCCACCCCAAAUGUUAAAGCUGUUUAUAUAUGUAAUAACAGCAGCUAGGAUUCUAUAUGUGCAGAAAUGGGAGGAAGGAGACAUUCCAAUGAAGGAAGAAUGGAUAAGUCAAGAUAAUGGACUAUGCAGAAUUGGCAAAAUCAACAGCAAAAUUAAGAGAAUCUAACAAAGAGUGUAUUAUGGAAGAAUGGGUGCCUUUUUUGGACUAUUUAAAGAAAUAUUAUAGUAUGAUGAACUCAUGAGUAGGCUUUGAGCUAUGGCAACAGAAGUAAUUAGAUAAUAAUAUUGUGGUUAUGAUUUGAUAGAAGUUUGGUGGCAGCAGCAGGAGAGAAACAACUCCAUGGAGAAAGGGGUGGGAAGUCGACAAAAACAAGAGAAAAGACAAAAUUGUGUUUUGACUGCAUAAGCUAAAAGUAUCGAAACGGAAUAAAAUAUAAUAAUAAUAAAAAAGAUUUGUAGCCUUGUCUUUUACAAAAACAAGCAAAACGUAAAUAGAUUAUGGUAGUGAAUAUGUGUCUUUUUGUCUAACUAGGUGUGGUGGAGUUAAGUCUGAUCAUCAAAUUAAUAAUAAUGACAAAAAGUUGAUUUCUUCAUUAUAAGAUCCCAGGGCAGGUAACAAGAAUGUCAAAAAAUGCAAUAUUAAAACACAUCAUGGCCGUUAUAGUCAAAGUCCUUGGCCGAAUUUUGACACGAAAGGCCAUCUGGCAGCAGGAUUGCCUGCCUGAACUUGUCCGAAGUGAUCUAAUACGAAUCCUAAUCAAUACAGUUAAAGCCCUAAUUUCAAAUCCAAUAUCUUUAUUAGGCUCUGAGGGAGAAUGGCUGGGGUUAUUUCAUUUUACUGGCCUUUCCAUGCCACUUUCCUUUCAGCAGAGGGCGCUGUAGGAGAAAGAAUCCUGACAAGGAUCCGGUAGCUGGAGCAAAUAAAAGGGGAUGUGUCUGAAGUCUGGGCUGUGUGAGGCGACUGCAGAAAAAGACUCUUGCCGCUCAAAUGUCAAAUCAACAUGGAGGCAAAUCAAGCUAUUUGUUUCCCUUGCCCCCUGUCCCGCCUGGAGAAUAAGCCUUCUGGUGGUGGUUCCACGAGCUCAUCUAUCACGAGGAGCAAAAACGUUUAGAGGGUUUGAUCUUGCCUUGGUGUAGCCAAUUAAAAAGUUUACACAAACCAUCUCCUCCUCACGGAAGGGGCCCCAUUAGCUGACACUUUGGACAGCUCCUGCAAUUUGUCUUUCUUCUAGGGACGGCUUCCACAAUUUGUCUUUCUUCCGAAGGGUGAAACGCCAGCCUUUUCCUUCUAAUGAGGUUCGGCUGCCGUUAAAAAUAAUAAUAUUUUAUUUUAUUUUUUUAAAAAGGAAGUUGUUUUGGAAUCAAAAUAUGAAUACAGUAUCUCUGCAUACAGUAUAUUAAUCCUUCUAACAACAUGGCAGUCUGCCAACUUCUUGGAUAAUUCCGCCCUUAUUCCUUUUAGGAGAUGGCUGACUGCACAUUUGUGCAACUCUUAUGAAAGGAGAGGGUUUUCCCCUCCUCCUCUAGAGGGGUCUGCCAAUGACAUCUGCAGCUCAGUUGCUCACCACCUUAUAUUGCCUUGCCAAAGUCCCCCUGUCCCAAAUGCAAAAGGUAGUUUAAGUAAGAGGCAAGCGCCUACUUUCCAUUUUUCUUUUUCUUUUGUUGUUGCGUGUGGCCAAUUUAAUUCCCUUCCAAAUCUCAUUUGCGCAGACUCUCUAACAGUGAUAAUAUCCUCUUUUGAACUGAGUAUGAAAAUGGGGGGGGGGAGAGAGAGAGGACGUGGAGAGGAGUAAACAAAACACCACUUAUAUUCACAGACUGGGGUCCUUCCUUUCUGAAUCGUAUGCCUGUUCUCGAAAGGAAUCAGCAGCAGUGGCUGUGAUCCAGGGGGAAAAAAGAAGAACGCGAAAGGGAUUCGCUUGUGUGCCUUUCUGCAGGGAGAUAGCAAAUCCUUGCCUAGGCGAUGUAUACAAUUAUCUGGAUGAAAGAGGCUUACAAAUGAGGAACAAGUCCUCCAAUUGUCAUUCGGUAACCAUAUGAUAUAUAUGGUGCGCGCGCACGCGCACACACACACACACACACACACACACACACAGAAGAAGGGGUUUUCUAAUUGCCAUUCUGGAAAUAUACACUGCAUAUAGAUAAAUGCACACAGAGCUGGCUUGCAGAAGAAAGCCUCUAGACUGCAUUGAUAGAGGAGGAAUCUCAGGCCAAAGGGUUCCUCUGUAGAUCUCUCUGUCUGGUCCUCCUGACUCUCCCCCAAGCAGGUCACAUCCCUCAUUGAUCCUGCUUCUUUGCACUCUCUCUUCGUAAAACAUAUACUCUUUAUUUCUUAAUUUCCCCCACAAAUAUAUAGUUCAGUGCCAUAUUAUGCAAGCAGUACCUUAAAAACACUACAGUACACAGCUGCCAGUAGUUUGAAGGGGAGGAAUCAUGGGAAGGGGUCAUAGCUGUCAAGCGUCCCUUAUUUGGCGGGACAGUCCCUUAUCCCAGCUCCAUGUCCCGCUGCUGUCCCUUAUUGAUGAUGUCCCUUAAAUAAGCUACUGAAGGUAAUGGGGCCCUUUCUAUGUCCAGCUGUCCUUUGUCAACAACAAAUUGUUGCUGUUUUUUUGUGUUGAAUAUAUGCUAUAUGGUAAUUUAUGGACCUAAUAGGUAUCUAAAGCCAUUUGCACGCAACAAAAUAUGUAUUUUAUCAAAGUAAUUGUUGAUCCCUUAUUUUGGCUGCUGAUCCCUUAUUUUUGAGGCUGCUGGUCCCUUAUUUUCAAAUCUGUAAGUUGACAGCUAUGGAAGGGGUCAUGCACUUUGCACUUUCUUUGAGUGUUUUUGUCUGGCUGGACUAUGUCCUUGAGAUCGGACAAUGCCUUAUGGUUGCCUAGAUGGAGGAUAGAGAAACUGUCCUACUGUACAAGGGUAAAAUUCACAUUCAUUGCUUUCUGCCAGCUCUUGCCUCUGACCAUGUCUGUUGUUUUUUUGUCUCUUGUCCUGCCUGUUGCUGGAAUGCGGUCUCUGGUAGGUUGCCCAGAAGCAGAUGUGGGCGUCAGACUGGAAUAUGUGUUAGAUCAACCUAACAUCAUGUAUCUCUCAGCAGCUCUACUUGGAGAUACCAGGAAUUGAACUGGAGAAGUUCUGCAUGCAAAACAGAAGCUCCACCAAGGAGCUACAGCCUUUCCCCAGACCUAUGGAGGCAGAAUCCAGAUGGGAAGCUUUGGCAGAACAAGCCAAAGAACAAGCCAGAACAAGCCAUACCUGAGCUUCUACAGAGUGGACACAAGUAGGAUGCUGGUACCUUUCACCUGGUCUGUAUGGGAAAGGUUCAUCCAUAACAGAAGUCAAAGAACUUUGAAUAGGAAAAGUCAGGAGCUGCACUUAAAAAAGAGAGAAAAUAAUAGUAAUAAUUUAUUAUUUAUACCCCGCCCAUUCCCCAGCCAGUCUGGGCGGCUCCCAACAGAAUAUUAAAAACACACUAAAACAUCAAACAUUAAAAACUUCCCUAAACAGGGC